rnacentral:rRNA from 1 species
UACGUAGGGGGCAAGCGUUGUCCGGAUUUAUUGGGCGUAAAGAGCGUGUAGGCGGUUUGGUAGGUCCGCUGUGAAAACUCGAGGCUCAGCCUCGAGACGCCGGUGGAAACCAUCAGACUAGAGUACUGCAGGGGAGACUGGAAUUCCUGGUGUAGCGGUGGAAUGCGCAGAUAUCAGGAGGAACACCGGUGGCGAAGGCGGGUCUCUGGGCAGUAACUGACGUGAGGAGCGAAAGCGUGGGGAGCGAACAGG